rnacentral:rRNA from 1 species
UCGAACGAGAUUUUCGGAUCUAGUGGCGCACGGGUGAGUAACGCGUGGGAACCUACCUUUUAGUACGGGACAACGUUUGGAAACGAACGCUAAUACCGUAUACGCCCUCCGGGGGAAAGGUCAGCCGCUGAAAGAGGGGCCCGCGUCUGAUUAGCUUGUUGGUAAGGUAAUGGCUUACCAAGGCUACGAUCAGUAGCUGGUCUGAGAGGAUGAUCAGCCACACUGGGACUGAGACACGGCCCAGACUCCUACGGGAGGCAGCAGUGGGGAAUAUUGGACAAUGGAGGCAACUCUGAUCCAGCAAUGCCGCGUGUGUGAUGAAGGCCCUAGGGUUGUAAAGCACUUUCAACGGUGAAGAUGAUGACGGUAGCCGUAGAAGAA